rnacentral:rRNA from 1 species
GACGAACGCUGGCGGCGUGCUUAACACAUGCAAGUCGAACGGAAAGGCCCUGCUUUUGUGGGGUUCUCGAGUGGCGAACGGGUGUGUAACACGUGAGUAACCUGCCCUUGACUUUGGGAUAACUUCAGGAAACUGGGGCUAAUACCGGAUAGAAGCUCCUGCUGCAUGGUGUUGGUUGGAAAGUUUCGGCGGUGGGGGAUGUACUCGCGGCUUAUCAGCUUGUUUGUGGGGUAGUGGCUUACCAAGGCUUUGACGGGUAGCCGGCCUGAGAGGGUGAACGGCCACAAUGGGACUGAGAUACGGCCCAGACUCCUACCGGAGGCAGCAGUGGGGAAUAUUGCACAAUGGGCGGAAGCCUGAUGCAGCAACGCCGCGUGCGGGAUGACGGCCUUCAGGUUGUAAACCGCUUUCGACUGUGACGAAGCGUGCGUGACGGUAAUGGGUAAAGAAGCCCCGGCUAACUACGUG